rnacentral:rRNA from 1 species
UAGCGGCGGACGGGUUAGUAACGCGUGGGAACGUACCCUUUUCUACGGAAUAGCCUCGGGAAACUGAGAGUAAUACCGUAUACGCCCUUUGGGGGAAAGAUUUAUCGGAGAAGGAUCGGCCCGCGUUAGAUUAGAUAGCUGGUGGGGUAAUGGCCUACCAAGUCUACGAUCUAUAGCUGGUUUGAGAGGAUGAUCAGCAACACUGGGACUGAGACACGGCCCAGACUCCUACGGGAGGCAGCAGUGGGGAAUCUUAGACAAUGGGCGCAAGCCUGAUCUAGCCAUGCCGCGUGAGUGAAGAAGGCCUUAGGGUCGUAAAGCUCUUUCGCCUGUGAAGAUAAUGACUGUAGCAGGUAAAGAAACCCCGGCUAACUCCGUGCCAGCAGCCGCGGUAAUACGGAGGGGGUUAGCGUUGUUCGGAAUUACUGGGCGUAAAGCGCGCGUAGGCGGACAUUUAAGUCAGAGGUGAAAUCCCAGGGCUCAACCCUGGAACUGCCUUUGAUACUGGGUGUCUUGAGUUCGAGAGAGGUGAGUGGAAUUCCGAGUGUAGAGGUGAAAUUCGUAGAUAUUCGGAGGAACACCAGUGGCGAAGGCGGCUCACUGGCUCGAUACUGACGCUGAGGUGCGAAAGUGUGGGGAGCAAACAGGAUUAGAUACCCUGGUAGUCCACACCGUAAACGAUGAAUGCCAGUCGUCGGGC